rnacentral:rRNA from 1 species
CAAAAACAACAAACCAAAAUAAAUAAACCCAAAGACCCAAACAAGUCUAACCAAACCAUUUUUCCUCCCUAGUAUAGGCGAUAGAAAAGGACCUAAUGGAGCUAUAGAAAAAGUACCGUAAGGGAAAGCUGAAAGAGCGGUGAAAUAGUCCAGUAAAGCCUAAAAAAGCAGAGAUCAAAGCUCGUACCUUUUGCAUCAUGAUUUAGCCAGUAUAUCCAAGCAAAGAGCACUUUAGUUUGAUACCCCGAAACUAGCGUGAGCUACUUCAAGACAGCCUGUUUAUAGGGCAAACCCGUCUCUGUGGCAAAAGAGUGGGAAGAGCUUCAAGUAGCGGUGACAGACCUACCGAACCUAGUUAUAGCUGGUUGCCUAAGAACUGGAUAGAAGUUCAGCCUCCCGGCUUCUCAAUUCAUCUUCGUCAUUAUCCUCUCCCCUCCCGAUACUUAGAGAAGCCAUGAGAGUUAGUCAAAGGGGGUACAGCCCCUUUGAACCAAGAUACAACUUUUCCAGGAGGGUAAAGAUCAUAUUAAGCUAAGGCAGAAUGUCUAGGUGGGCCUAAAAGCAGCCACCCUUAAAGAAAGCGUUAAAGCUCGAACAUAACCCCCUCCCCCAAUACCGAUAACCAAAUCUUAACCCCCUAAUCUUAUUAGGCCAUCCCAUGCCAACAUGGGAGUGACAAUGCUAAAAUGAGUAAUAAGAGAGCACCUAACCCCUCUCCCCCUGCACACGUGUAAAUCGGAACGGACCCCCCACCGAAACUUAAACGGCCCCAAACAAAGAGGGUACUGAAUAGCAAUACAACCGACUAGAAAAUCAUUCACACUAGCACCGUUAACCCUACACUGGCGUGCCCCCCGGGAAAGACUAAAAGAAAAAGAAGGAACUCGGCAAACACAUAAAGCCUCGCCUGUUUACCAAAAACAUCGCCUCUUGCAAAACUAAAAAUAAGAGGUCCUGCCUGCCCAGUGACACACUGUUCAACGGCCGCGGUAUUCUGACCGUGCGAAGGUAGCGUAAUCACUUGUCUUUUAAAUGAAGACCUGUAUGAAUGGCAAGACGAGGGCUUAGCUGUCUCCUUUUUCAAGUCAAUGAAAUUGAUCUCCCCGUGCAGAAGCGGGGAUAACUACAUAAGACGAGAAGACCCUAUGGAGCUUUAGAUAAUGAAACAGACCACGUCAAAGCAACCCUAAACAAAGGACUGAACUAACUGGCUACUGUUUUUAUGUCUUCGGUUGGGGCGACCAUGGGGAAAUAAAAAACCUCCACGUGGAAUAGGAGCAUUCAACCCCUUUUCUCUAACCCUCCUCCCAGAACUAAGAGCUACAGCUCUAACUAACAGAACUUCUGACCAAAUAUGAUCCGGCAAUGCCGAUCAACGAAUCAAGUUACCCUAGGGAUAACAGCGCAAUCCCCUUUUAGAGCCCAUAUCGACAAGGGGGUUUACGACCUCGAUGUUGGAUCAGGACAUCCUAAUGGUGCAGCCGCUAUUAAGGGUUCGUUUGUUCAACGAUUAAAGUCCUACGUGAUCUGAGUUCAGACCGGAGUAAUCCAGGUCAGUUUCUAUCUAUGUUAUGAUCUUUUCUAGUACGAAAGGACCGAAAAGAAGAGGCCCAUGCUUCAAGCACGCCUCACCCUCACCUAAAGAAAGCAUCUAAACUAGGCAAAAGGGCAUGCUCCCAUGCCUAAGAAAAUGGCAU